rnacentral:lncRNA from 1 species
UGAAAUUACCUUGAUUCACUUUUUCUGUGGAACUUCAGAAGUUAGUUUUCAGUAACUUGUCUUUUGUAUAUAGCUUUCCAUACAACUAAAGCAGAAUUGACCACUUGCAAGAAAACUGGUUAAUACCUGUACAGUUUUAGGUGUAAAAGGUUAAACCAUGUAUGGUUUAUGCUGUAGAAUAGACAUAGGUGUUGAAAUAUUAGUUACGAGUGUCAAAUUGUAUAAAUUAAUUUAGCCAACAUUAGAAAAUCAAAAUGUUGAUAAAUGUUAUAAGCCAUUUGUGUUUAUCAUUUGCUUUCAAAUGUUAUUGUGAUUUUAUCAAUGUUAUUGUGAAUUUUUGUUGAUUUUUACAGUUAAAAAAGAUAUUUUUACCAUUCCAAAGGAAC